rnacentral:rRNA from 1 species
AUUGAACGCUGGCGGCAUGCCUUACACAUGCAAGUCGAACGGUAACGGGCCUUCGGGUGCCGACGAGUGGCGAACGGGUGAGUAAUGCAUCGGAACGUACCUUUCAGUGGGGGAUAACGUAGCGAAAGUUACGCUAAUACCGCAUAUUCUGUGAGCAGGAAAGCAGGGGAUCGCAAGACCUUGCGCUGAUUGAGCGGCCGAUGUCAGAUAGCUAGUUGGUGAGGUAAAGGCUCACCAAGGCGACGAUCUGUAGCGGGUCUGAGAGGAUGAUCCGCCAAACUGGAACUGAGACACGGUCCAGACUCCUACGGGAGGCAGCAGGGGGGAAUUUUGGACAAUGGGGGCAACCCUGAGCCAGCCAUGCCGCGUGAGUGAAGAAGGCCUUCGGGUUGUAAAGCUCUUUCGGUCGGGAAGAAAUCGCAUGGGUUAAUACCCUGUGCGGAUGACGGUACCGGCAUAAGAAGCACCGGCUAACUACGUGCCAGCCGCCGCCGUAACAC